rnacentral:rRNA from 1 species
UACAGAGGGUGCAAGCGUUGUUCGGAAUUACUGGGCGUAAAGCGCGUGUAGGCGGUCUGGCAAGUCGGUCGUGAAAUCCCUUGGCUUAACCAAGGAACUGCGAUCGAAACUACCGGACUAGAGUAUCGGAGGGGGUGGCGGAAUUCCCGGUGUAGAGGUGAAAUUCGUAGAUAUCGGGAGGAACACCCGUGGCGAAGGCGGCCACCUGGAAGAUUACUGACGCUGAGACGCGAAAGCGUGGGGAG